rnacentral:tRNA from 1 species
GGGGCUGUGGGGUAGCUUGGUAGCCUUCAGCCAUGGGGUGGCUGCGACCCAGGUUCAAAUCCUGGCAGCCCCA